AUUGAACGCUGGCGGCAGGCCUAACACAUGCAAGUCGAACGAGACGGGAUGGAAGGAGCCUUCGGGUGACGGAAAUCCUAGAAAGUGGCGAACGGGUGAGUAACGCGUGGGUAACCUGCCCUGUGGAAAGGAAUAGCCUCGGGAAACUGGGAGUAAUGCCUUAUAAUAUAUCGAAGUCGCAUGGCUUUGAUAUAAAACGCUCCGGUGCCAUAGGAUGGACCCGCGUCCCAUUAGCUAGUUGGUGAGAUAACAGCCCACCAAGGCGACGAUGGGUAACCGGUCUGAGAGGGCGAACGGUCACACUGGAACUGAGACACGGUCCAGACUCCUACGGGAGGCAGCAGUGGGGAAUAUUGCGCAAUGGGGCAACCCUGACGCAGCAAUACCGCGUGAGUGAAGAAGGUUUUCGGAUCGUAAAGCUCUGUUAUUGGGGAAGAAAAAAGACGGUACCCAAGAAGAAAGUCCCGGCUAACUACGUGCCAGCCGCCGCGGUAA
rnacentral:rRNA from 1 species